CAAUAGCGUAUAUUUAAGUUGUUGCAGUUAAAAAGCUCGUAGUUGGAUUUCGGGUGGGACGCAGCGGUCUCGCAUUGCGUUUGUACUGCUGCAGCCCUCCUUCUUGCCGGGGGCGGCCUCUCGGACUUCACUGUCUGGGGGUCAGAAUCGGCGAUGUUACUUUGAGUAAAUUAGAGUGUUCAAAGCAAGCUUACGCUCUGAAUAUAAUAGCAUGGGAUAACACGACAGGACUCUGGCCUAUCGUGUUGGUCUAUAGGACCAGAGUAAUGAUUAAGAGGGACAGUCGGGGGCAUUCGUAUUCCGUUGUCAGAGGUGAAAUUCUUGGAUUUACGGAAGACGAACAUCUGCGAAAGCAUUUGCCAAGGAUGUUNUCAUUNA
rnacentral:rRNA from 1 species